AAAAAUGCAAUGAAAAAGAAAGUAAAUUUAAGUUUGAUUUACAGAGAGUAGGAAGUGGUGGAAGCCUAUAUGAUACUUAAGUUGAAACAACGCUUUGGAGUGGUUAGAAGAAAUUACAUUUUGUAAGAGUAAAGCUAAACGGAGUCUCACCGUUAAAGGAGAAAAAGUAUAAUAGUACUUUACAGAGUUGGGCUUUUUGCCAACUAGGGUGGUACCGCGGAAGUUAUCCCGUCCCUAUA
rnacentral:ncRNA from 1 species